UCUUUUUGGUGCUUUGAGCUUUCAAUAAUGGAGGGGGACCGUUGAGAUGGCAUGACUCGAGAACAUAGAGAAAUUUUUAUACAUCAAGCUGUUUACCUUAUCGUUGCUCCGGUAUAGGUGUGACUGGAAGCAGGCCUGGUCAAGACGGGCACUGGAGUGAGUCCUCUUUUUACUCCAUAUCUCGAACAUUUCUAUCAAGUUAUCUGCAUCUAGAAUGGUUUAUACAUGUGUGAACCAUUCGUUAUUACCUUAAUUCAUCAGAUAUUUUCUAAUCACCAUGUUGGAUUUCACUUGUGUGUUGAACGUUUAAUGGAAAUCCAUGAAAGAUCAUCUUUACAAACGUAAUACGUGCAUGUUCCUAAUUUCAUACUUGUAGCAAGAAUUAGUAGUGAAAUCUCUGGUGCUGCGUAGGGAGUCUAUUUGUGUACGCAUGGUCACGACUCGGUCAAUAAGGUUUCCUACAGUUAAAUAUGUGGGGGAAAAUCAUGGUAAUUUCAUCACCACGUCAAUAAUUUCACUGUGCUAUUGAAAUUAAUUACACAACAAACCAAUCUGUAUCCCAUGAUUGAUAUUUGUCUGGAGUACAUGAUUGAACUUU